rnacentral:lncRNA from 10 species
CACGUGGCUGGCAGAGAAGGGAAGAGGGAGCCGCCAUCUCGAACAUGAUUGGCACAACUGCUGGCAUGCUGCAGGAGAUCACCCCUUGAUUCACAGGAAUAAGCAGCGUUCAUCCAAAAUGUUGGCAAAAAGUUUACAAACAGUCCAGACGCCGUGGCUCACAUCUGUAAUCCCAGCGCUUUGGGAGGCCGAGGUAGGAGGAUAACUUGAGGUCAGGAGUUCCACACCAACCUGGUCAAUGUGGUGAAACCCCGUCUCUACUAAAAAACAGUUAGCUGGGCAUGGUGGCAGGUGCCUGUAAUCCCAGCUACUCGGGAGGCUGAGGCAGGAGAAUCACUUGAACCCGGAAGGCGGAGGUUGCAGUGAGCCGAGAUUGUGCCCCUGCAGUCCAGCCUGGGUGACAGCGUGAGACUGACAGAG